GGCGUUCGUGGAGCGCACGUGAAGGAUUGGCCCCGAGACGUGCGGCGGCUGGAAGCUUUGCUGGAGGCGGGCAGGCUGCUAGGCAAACAUGCGGCUAGGGUUUUGUUUUUGGUUUUUAGUUUUGCUGUGUUGGGCUAUUUUAAUUGGGCUUGUAUUUUAAAGAUUUGGGUUGUGCUUUAUUUUGUACUGGCCUGGGCCAGUUGG
rnacentral:lncRNA from 1 species